CCUGUAUGGUAAAGAAUCUGCCUGUAAAGCAGGAGACCCAGGUUCAAUCCCUGG
rnacentral:tRNA from 1 species